rnacentral:RNase_P_RNA from 1 species
AUGGUGGGACGAUCUGUCGCGGCGCCGUGUUCCGGGCCCCCGUCAUAGAAGGACACGUGCGCUGAGGAAAGUCCGCACAGGACAGGGCACCCGUCUGCGGAAAGCGCAGCAGGGAGUAAUCUUUGGCAAGCGGUAACAGAAAACAACCGCCGAAAGGUAAGGGUGAAAACGCGGGGUAAGAGCCCACGACUGUUUGUGGCAACACACUCAGGGUACCGCCCACGGGCCUGCAAGACCAAAUAUACCGGCAGAUAAGGGCUGCCCGCUCUUUGCCGGGGGGUAGGUUGCGAAGAUAAAUGACAGAUUCAAAAACAGAAAGCGGCUUACGGCCCCACCAUUUUU